rnacentral:rRNA from 1 species
AUUGAACGCUGGCGGUAUGCCUUACACAUGCAAGUCGAACGGUAGAGGGGCAACCCUUGAGAGUGGCGAACGGGUGAGUAAUACAUCGGAACGUGCCCAGUCGUGGGGGAUAACGUAGCGAAAGCUACGCUAAUACCGCAUACGACCUGAGGGUGAGAGCGGGGGAUCGCAAGACCUCGCGCGAUUGGAGCGGCCGAUGGCAGAUUAGGUAGUUGGUGGGGUAAAGGCCUACCAAGCCUGCGAUCUGUAGCUGGUCUGAGAGGACGACCAGCCACACUGGGACUGAGACACGGCCCAGACUCCUACGGGAGGCAGCAGUGGGGAAUUUUGGACAAUGGGCGCAAGCCUGAUUCAGCUGUACCGCGUGCGGGAAGAAGGCCUUCGGGUUGUAAACCGCUUUUGUCAGGGAAGAAAUCUUCUGGGCUAAUACCUCGGGAGGAUGACGGUACCUGAAGAAUAAGCACCGGCUAACUACGUGCCAGCCGCCGCCGUAAGAC